rnacentral:rRNA from 1 species
UACGUAGGUGGCAAGCGUUGUCCGGAUUUACUGGGCGUAAAGAGCGCGCAGGCGGUCGUUCAAGUCGCGUGUGAAAGCCCCCGGCUCAACUGGGGAGGGUCAUGCGAUACUGAUCGACUCGAAGGCAGGAGAGGGUAGUGGAGUUCCCGGUGUAGUGGUGAAAUGCGUAGAUAUCGGGAGGAACACCAGUGGCGAAGGCGACUACCUGGCCUGUUUCUUGACGCUGAGGCGCGAAAGCUAGGGGAGCAAACGGG